GGUGGCCGUGCAGGGGAGCAGGCCGGUGCGCGCGCUGUGAAUGGGGAGCGAGCCUGCCCAAGGCUUUGGCCCGCUGUCACCCUCGGAGACUGCCCCAGGCUGGCUCAGGGGCGCCGGGGUGACCUCGCCUGGCAGCCCCCGAGGAAGGAACUGGGUGGACUGAGUGAACAGUGCCCCUCUCUGUCUGAAGCCUAGCAAGGGGGGUCCUGGGGACCCCACCAGGAGGAGUUAAAAUGAAAAGUGAGGGAGGGGAGGCUGGAGGACCUGGGCACCUUUAGGUGCAGUACCAGGCCCGUAGGAGGAUUUCCAGUCUGAGCCAUGGAAGCAGAAAUUGGCUUUUCCUUUCCAGAUUUAUCCAGUAUUCAGAAAGGGGAAUCUAGCACCUGCCUUCCCGAUUUGAACACACUCAACAUUCAGGGGUGCGCAAGCUCAGUUUAGGCUGCUGUUACUUCAUUUCUCCCAAAUCAAAACCGCUGAUCCACUGUAACUUGCUGUAGAAAAACUGGAUAAAAUUGAGAGACAAACGCUGGGGUCUUCCCAGUGCUAACUUGGACUGGAAUUGCUAUUUUCAACAGCCAUUACCAUUUUUUCUUUAGUUUUGUUUGUUUAAAAGGAAGACAGUAAUAUUGCGCUGGGAAAUUCCCCACAGAAACGAAGAGCGGAAGAAAAGAAUAACAAAGGCACCUCAACUUUUCCUCAUUUAUCUAGGACAGUCUUAUCAUAUGGAUCCAGAUAUCCUCCAAUCACACAAGCUGAAAAUUGUUCCUCUUUACCACAGUUCUGUAACUGUGUGGGAACCAGUCCUGUCUGUGUUCUGUGCACAUCCAAAAUCCCUCCUGAAUUCAGAAGGGCCUUGCUUUUGUGACCACACUAUCAGAUAUUUUCAGCCGUGGUAUUUCAUACGUGAACCAGAAUGGACCCUCAGCCAUAAUUUUGUUGAACUGACUGAGCCUGAACUGAACAGAAAAACAAACCAAAGUAUGCCUCAACUUGGAACUUGGAAAAGAACCGAAAUAACCAGGUAGGGCAGAAAUAAGAGAAUGAGCUAAUGUCAUUAAUAUGUGUAUAUAUGUUAUAAAUAUAUACAAACAUACCAGCCUAUGAAGUAAGGGUACCCCAACAUUUCUGUGGGAGAGGAAAUGAAGUUUGGACAUAGAAAGAGGGCUCAGGUGUUCAAGCUCUGUGACAAGGGUGACCCACCAUGCCUAAGAGGCUUCUUAGUUCUCUCUUUAUUGCCCUUUGGUUUAUUACUCUGUUAGUUCUGAAUUGUAAGUGUUAAGUCAGUCAGAUAAGUAAAACUCUUAAGUUAGCUUUGUCAGUCUUCUAUAGCUCUUAGCUCUCUAGCUUCUCGUAAGCUCUGUCCUUCUCACUCAAGAAUUGAGGGACCUGGACCUGAACUCUCUUGGCAUGCCAGAGGCAAGGCUGGUCCUUGGUCUCUAACCUCCAGGUUAUAAACAGGGCUGCUGACGGCAGGGGGCUGCUGACGGCAGGGUGUGGGGCAAAGGGGGGGCAAUUGCCCAGGGGCCCGGGUGACUUAAAAGGGCCCGGGACUCCCAGGGCUGCCAGGGAAGCAGCAGCAGGAAGCUCCGUGCUGCUUUUAAAGAGCAGUAGCGGGCUCCUGGCCACUUUUAAAUCCUUGGCCAGGCCAGCAGCAGUAUGGGGCACCCAAUGCUGCUGAUGGGGAGAGGGGGGCAAAAGGGAGGCUACAGGUUAGCCCCUGAAGCCCCGCCCCUUCUGCAUGAGGCCCUGCCCCUUCCAGGGGCCCAAAGUCAUGCCCCCCCUUUGCCCAGGAGCCCGGCAAUUCUGUCGUCAGCCCUGGUUAUAAUGCAAGACUGUGAGUAUAUUAAUCAAAAGCUUGAUAGUGCAUAAUAUCACAUGUAUCUCUAGACCAACAUUAUUGCCUUUGUAACUCUGAUCAUUUUACCACUUGAUUGCUGUUUGGUUACUAUUCGAUUUAUCUCUAUAAAAGUCUUUAAGGCUA